rnacentral:rRNA from 1 species
AUUGCUAUUGGAUGAGCCUAUAUUAGAUUAGCUAGUUGGUGGAGUAAUAGCCUACCAAGGCAAUGAUCUAUAGCUGAUCUGAGAGGAUGAUCAGCCACACUGGAACUGAGAUACGGUCCAGACUCCUACGGGAGGCAGCAGUGGGGAAUAUUGGACAAUGGGCGAAAGCCUGAUCCAGCCAUGCCGCAUGAGUGAAGAAGGCCUUUGGGUUGUAAAGCUCUUUUAGUGAGGAAGAUAAUGACGGUACUCACAGAAGAAGUCCUGGCUAACUCCGUGCCAGCAGCCGCGGUAAUACGGAGAGGGCUAGCGUUAUUCGGAAUUAUUGGGCGUAAAGGGCGCGUAGGCUGGUUAAUAAGUUAAAAGUGAAAUCCCGAGGCUUAACCUUGGAAUUGCUUUUAAAACUAUUAAUCUAGAGAUUGAAAGAGGAUAGAGGAAUUCCUGAUGUAGAGGUAAAAUUCGUAAAUAUUAGGAGGAACACCAGUGGCGAAGGCGUCUAUCUGGUUCAAAUCUGACGCUGAAGCGCGAAGGCGUGGGGAGCAAACAGGAUUAGAUACCCUGGUAGUCCACGCUGUAAACGAUGAAUGUUAAAUAUGGGAAGUUU